GACGUAGGGGGCCAGCGUUGUUCGGAAUUAUUGGGCGUAAAGAGCUCGUAGGCGGUUCGUCGCGUCGGCUGUGAAAACCUGAGGCUCAACCUCAGGCCUGCAGUCGAUACGGGCGGACUUGAGUACUGCAGGGGAGACUGGAAUUCCUGGUGUAGCGGUGAAAUGCGCAGAUAUCAGGAGGAACACCGGUGGCGAAGGCGGCUCACUGGCUCGUAACUGACGCUCAUGCACGACAGCGUGGGGAUCAAACAGG
rnacentral:rRNA from 1 species